CCCUUAGAUGUUCUGGGCUGCACGCACGCUACACUGAUGCUUUCAUCGAGUAUAUAACCUUACCAGACAUGGUUGGGUAAUCUUUUGAAACAGCAUCGUGAUGGGGAUAGAUUAUUGUAAUUAUUAGUCUUCAACGAGGAAUUCCUAGUAAGCGCGAAUCAUCAGUUCGUGCUGAUUACGUCCCUGCCCUUUGUACACACCGCCCGUCGCUCCUACCGAUUGAGUAAUCCGGUGAAUAAUUCGGACCGAUUGCGAUGUCAGUUCCUGGCGCCGCAGACGGAAAGUCUAGUGAACCUUAUUACUUAGAGGAAGGAGAAGUCGUAACA
rnacentral:rRNA from 1 species